rnacentral:rRNA from 1 species
AGUGGCGGACGGGUCAGUAACGCGUGAGAAUCUGCCUUCAGGUCGGGGACAACAGAGGGAAACUUCUGCUAAUCCCGGAUGAGCCUUAGGGUAAAAAAUUUAUUGCCUGGAGAUGAGCUCGCGUCUGAUUAGCUAGUUGGUAAGGUAAAAGCUUACCAAGGCAACGAUCAGUAGCUGGUCUGAGAGGAUGAGCAGCCACACUGGGACUGAGACACGGCCCAGACUCCUACGGGAGGCAGCAGUGGGGAAUUUUCCGCAAUGGGCGAAAGCCUGACGGAGCAAGACCGCGUGGGGGAGGAAGGCUCUAGGGUUGUAAACCCCUUUUCUUUGGGAAGAACAAAAUGACGGUACCAAAGGAAUCAGCCUCGGCUAACUCCGUGCCAGCAGCCGCGGUAAUACGGAGGAGGCAAGCGUUAUCCGGAAUGAUUGGGCGUAAAGCGUCCGCAGGUGGCAAUGUAAGUCUGCUGUCAAAACCCAGGGCUCAACUCUGGUCAGGCAGUGGAAACUACAUAGCUAGAGUUCGGUAGGGGCAAAGGGAAUUCCCGGUGUAGCGGUGAAAUGCGUAGAGAUCGGGAAGAACAUCGGUGGCGAAAGCGCUUUGCUAGACCGAAACUGACACUCAGGGACGAAAGCUAGGGGAGCGAAUGGGAUUAGAUACCCC